rnacentral:rRNA from 1 species
AUUGAACGCUGGCGGCAGGCCUAACACAUGCAAGUCGAGCGAGCGGCGGACGGGUGAGUAAUGUAUGGGGAUCUGUCCGCUGGCUGGGGAUAACUACUGGAAACUGUGGCUACUACCGCAUACCAUACAAUAAACCCAUAUGGGAUUACCUAGUAGUUGGGGUAACGGAUCAACUAGGCGACGAUCUCUAGCUGGUCUUAGAGGAUGAACAGUCACACUGGAACUGAGAAACGGCCCAGACUCCUACGGGAGGCAGCAGUGGGGAAUAUUGCACAAUGGGCGCAAGCCUGAUGCAGCCAUGCCGCGUGUAUGAAGAAGGCCUUAGGUUUGUAAAGUACUUUCAGUGGGGAGGCGUUACCCGCAGAAGAAGCACCGGCUAACUUCGUGCCAGCAGCCGCGGUAAUAC